UAGUCAAAGAAGGGUAAACUAAACUGUACUCAGGGUGAAUCGUCUAAGACAUGGGAUCUGAAAUCAAAGGGUUUCAUCAGAUCAAGAGUUUCUAUGGUCCCUCUGGAAGAUUGUUUAGAUGCUACGGCUAUUUUUGAAGCUGGAAAAAAAAAACUGGGAAUUGUCUUCAAAGAUACUGAGAAUGUGGUUUGGAGAAACUUGCAGAACUCGAGAGGGAAGAAGAUAUCGAUCGAGAGCAACGCCCGGAUGAGUUUACAAGUAAUAGUCAUCGAGAAGAGAUAAGAGUUCGAUAUUGACUACUGAGGUCAGGUUCCGACAAGAAGAAUGAGUAAAGUUAAGUAAGACCGAUCAGUUUCUCCUUUCCCAAGAUCAUAUCAGAAAAGAAUUAUAUAGUAUGUAUUUUGUAAUACU